AAGAACUGAUACACUACUAAUAUUUUUUAAAAAAUAUAUAAUAUAACAAAUAUAACAAGUUACCGAUCUUUUCUAGAGCAAGUGGCAAAAGGGCUUGGUGGUUGAUACCCGAGACCUAAGUUUGAAUCCUAGUUGAUUCACAUUUUUAACUAAGUUUAUUUCUAAAUGAAACUGGUAGUGUGCUACCUUAUUCUCAAAAAAAAUAAAUAUAACAAGUUUUGCUUCGAUCCAUACUUUCAAGUUUA
rnacentral:lncRNA from 1 species